rnacentral:rRNA from 1 species
ACUCCUACGGGAGGCAGCAGUGGGGAAUAUUGCACAAUGGGCGCAAGCCUGAUGCAGCCAUGCCGCGUGUAUGAAGAAGGCCUUCGGGUUGUAAGUACUUUCAGCAGUGAGGAAGGUGGAUAUGUUAAUAGCAUAUUCAUUUGACGUUAGCUGCAGAAGAAGCACCGGCUAACUCCGUGCCAGCAGCCGCGGUAAUACGGAGGGUGCGAGCGUUAAUCGGAAUUACUGGGCGUAAAGCGCAUGCAGGUGGUUUGUUAAGUCAGAUGUGAAAGCCCGGGGCUCAACCUCGGAAUUGCAUUUGAAACUGGCAAACUAGAGUACUGUAGAGGGGGGUAGAAUUUCAGGUGUAGCGGUGAAAUGCGUAGAGAUCUGAAGGAAUACCGGUGGCGAAGGCGGCCCCCUGGACAGAUACUGACACUCAGAUGCGAAAGCGUGGGGAGCAAACAGGAUUAGAUACCCUGAUAGGCUCUGC